CAAAAAAAAUCCUGAUUCCACUAAUCACCUCACCUCCUUACACCAAACCAAUUAGCUGAUCAACUAAGGUCCUGCCCUGACUACUGAUUGAUCACAUGAAGUGGUUGUGAGAGUAAUGGCAUUGUGGCAUCUGUCUGUUUGAAGGCUAUUUUCUAGAGCUUGGCAGAAGCCCCACCUGACUCCUCUGGAGAGAAGCUGAUGGAGGACUGCUUGGUGGGCACAUAAUUCACAUACACUACUGUUAAGAGCACCAAGCCCACACAUUUAGAUCUGUCUCGAGAAGAAGCAGAUUAUGGUGGACCGGAGGGACCAAGGAAACUAGAAGCCUAAGAAGAUGACCCCUAUCACUGGUGACAGUGCGUUCCUAUCCUGGUUUUGGCAGCUGGUGGGGGUGGUGAGUUGGUGGGUGAGCUGUGCCCGCCGGGGCACCCUGGGGUCUACUGCAGAAAGUACUGCUGAAAAUCCAGUUUCUCUCAGCGGUAACUACUGUAAACUGACUGGUAUUCGCUCUCGAUGAGCGCUGAGUGGUUCUGGAAAACAUUCACACAGUCAAAAGACAUGCAUACUGCACUGACUCACAAUACUGACCUGUAAAGUUUCUUUGUGUUCUUAUUUUAUAUUAUCUUAGAGAUGUAAGUACUUUAUGAGUUAUGUAUUUCAU